rnacentral:rRNA from 1 species
AGUGAACGCUGGCGGUAGGCCUAACACAUGCAAGUCGAACGGCAGCACAGUAAGAGCUUGCUCUUACGGGUGGCGAGUGGCGGACGGGUGAGGAAUACAUCGGAAUCUACUUUUUCGUGGGGGAUAACGUAGGGAAACUUACGCUAAUACCGCAUACGACCUACGGGUGAAAGCAGGGGAUCUUCGGACCUUGCGCGAUUGAAUGAGCCGAUGUCGGAUUAGCUAGUUGGCGGGGUAAAGGCCCACCAAGGCGACGAUCCGUAGCCGGUGUGAGAGGAUGAUUAGCCACACUGGAACUGAGACACGGUCCAGACUCCUAAGGGAGGCAGCAGUGGGGAAUAUUGGACAAUGGGGGCAAGCCUGAUCCAGCCAGACCGCGUGGGUGAAGAAGGCCUUCGGGUUGUAAAGACCUUUUGUUGGGAAAGAAAAGCAGCAGGUUAAUACCCCGCCGUUCUGACGGUACCCAAAGAAUAAGCACCGGCUAACUUCGUG